CCUACGGGUGGCAGCAGUCGAGAAUCAUUCACAAUGGGGGAAACCCUGAUGGUGCGACGCCGCGUGGGGGAAUGAAGGUCUUCGGAUUGUAAACCCCUGUCAUGUGGGAGCAAAUUAAAAAGAUAGUACCACAAGAGGAAGAGACGGCUAACUCUGUGCCAGCAGCCGCGGUAAUACAGAGGUCUCAAGCGUUGUUCGGAAUCACUGGGCGUAAGGCGUGCGUAGGCUGUUUCGUAAGUCGUGUGUGAAAGGCGCGGGCUCAACCCGCGGACGGCACAUGAUACUGCGAGACUAGAGUAAUGGAGGGGGAACCGGAAGUCUCGGUGUAGCAGUGAAAUGCGUAGAUAUCGAGAGGAACACUCGUGGCGAAGGCGGGUUCCUGGACAUUAACUGACGCUGAGGCACGAAGGCCAGGGGAGCGAAAGGGAUUAGAUACCCGUGUAGUC
rnacentral:rRNA from 1 species